GGAGAGGUGGGUGAGUGGCUUAAACCAGUUCCCUGCUAAGGAACCGUACGUUAAUUCGUACCGAGGGUUCGAAUCCCUCCCUCUCCGCCA
rnacentral:tRNA from 1 species